ACCAAAAGGAAGCAACAUUCGAUGGAA
rnacentral:sRNA from 1 species